rnacentral:rRNA from 1 species
CGGCAAAAGCUCAAAUUUGAAAUCCCCCGGGAAUUGUAAUUUGAAGGUGGCCUCAGUUAGUCCAAACAUUCUUAAGUCCAUUGGAAAAUGGCGCCAUGGAGGGUGAUAGCCCCGUAAAGAUGUCGUUUGUUCUAUUUUCUCUGGCCACCAAAGAGUCGAGUUGUUUGGGAAUGCAGCUCUAAGUGGGUGGUAAAUUCCAUCUAAAGCUAAAUAUUGGCGAGAGACCGAUAGCGAACAAGUACAGUGAUGGAAAGAUGAAAAGCACUUUGAAAAGAGAGUGAAAAAGUACGUGAAAUUGUUGAAAGGGAAGGGCUUGCAAGCAGACACAACCUCGUGUUGGGCCAGCAUCGGGGCGAGAGGAAGUAAAAACGAUUUGGAAAUGUAACUUUCGAGUAUUAUAGACCUUAUCCCUCCCUUCCAUCUCAUCCCGAGGCCUGCGGUUUAUCCUAGGAUGCUGGCGUAAUGGUUGCAAGUCGCCCGUCUUGA